AUUGAACGCUGGCGGCAGGCCUAACACAUGCAAGUCGAGCGAGAGGCGGACGGGUGAGUAAUGUCGGGGAAACUGCCUGAUGGAGGGGGAUAACUACUGGAAACGGUAGCUAAGACCGCAUACCAUCGGAUGUGCCCAGAUGGGAUUAGCUAGUAGGUGGGGUAAAGGCUCACCUAGGCGACGAUCCCUAGCUGGUAUGAGAGGAUGACCAGCCACACUGGAACUGAGACACGGGCCAGACUCCUACGGGAGGCAGCAGUGGGGAAUAUUGCACAAUGGGCGCAAGCCUGAUGCAGCCAUGCCGCGUGUAUGAAGAAGGCCUUCGGGUUGUAAAGUACUUUCAGCGGGGAGGCGUUACUCGCAGAAGAAGCACCGGCUAACUCCGUGCCAGCCGCCGCGGUAAUUC
rnacentral:rRNA from 1 species